rnacentral:rRNA from 1 species
UACGGAGGGAGCUAGCGUUGUUCGGAAUUACUGGGCGUAAAGCGCGCGUAGGCGGCUUUGUAAGUUAGAGGUGAAAGCCCGGAGCUCAACUCCGGAACUGCCUUUAAAACUGCAUCGCUUGAAUCCGGGAGAGGGAUGCAGAAUUCCAGGUGUAGCGGUGAAAUGCGUAGAUAUCUGGAGGAAUACCGGUGGCGAAGGCGGCAUCCUGGACCGGCAUUGACGCUGAGGAGCGAAAGCCAGGGGAGCAAACGGG